rnacentral:lncRNA from 1 species
AUAGACUUAUUUAUAAUCCCCCCUCAUAAAAUAUAUAAAUAAAACAAACAACAAUUAAAAGAAAGAUAAGAAUAUAUUAGAUAUAUUUUUAGCAAAUCAUAGAGCACAAACAGACCGAAAUAAGGAAAAGAUAAACCAACCCAACAUUACUGGGAACAAACCAUCAGCUGACACACAUCUUCUAUUUCCUAAAUUGACACCAUCCAACUAGAGUUAAAUGGUUGUAUCCAACAAAAGAAGUGCAAACCCAGAGAAGCUCAUGAACUAUAACUGCCUACCAAGGGAAUAGUGUUAUCUCUGCAUUCCUGCAUGCCCUUGUGAUUUACAGUGAAGGACAUUUUAUACAAACUAAAGAGAAUUUCCUUUUUCCAUAAUUUGUAGUGGUUUCUAAAUUUUUGAAAUUUGAAAUGCUCAAGAUAAUUGAACAAAUCAAAAUGGGCUCUGAGUGAAGCAAAGAUUUCUGAUGAGUAGUAUAAACCGUAGUUCAAACCAUUUCUCAAAGGCGUAAGACCAAGUUUCUGAAAACUAUAUUGUCCUGUAAAAAAAAGGAAAAGGCUGAACAAAUCAUUGCCUAAAUUCAUCUGACACCGCUUAACAUUCACAUAGGGCCACGAUUUUUAUUUGGAAAUAAAGCCUUCCAAAAUAAAACAUUGUGAAACAACCCAACAAGAAAGACCCAAAAAUAGAUCUCAAAAAGAACAACUCAACAAGAA